rnacentral:rRNA from 1 species
GAUGAACGCUGGCGGCGUGCCUAAUACAUGCAAGUCGAGCGAACAGACGAGGAGCUUGCUCCUCUGACGUUAGCGGCGGACGGGUGAGUAACACGUGGAUAACCUACCUAUAAGACUGGGAUAACUUCGGGAAACCGGAGCUAAUACCGGAUAAUAUAUUGAACCGCAUGGUUCAAUAGUGAAAGCCGGAUUUGAUGUCACUUAUAGAUGGAUCCGCGCCGCAUUAGCUAGUUGGUAAGGUAACGGCUUACCAAGGCAACGAUGCGUAGCCGACCUGAGAGGGUGGUCGGCCACACUGGAACUGAGACACGGUCCAGACUCCUACGGGAGGCAGCAGUAGGGAAUCUUCCGCAAUGGGCGAAAGCCUGACGGAGCAACGCCGCGUGAGUGAUGAAGGUCUUCGGAUCGUAAAACUCUGUUAUGAGGGAAGAACAAAUGUGUAAGUAACUAUGCACGUCUUGACGGUACCUAAUCAGAAAGCCACGGCUAACUACGUG